UCUGAAAACCUUCAUCUCAUUGCAGUUCGUUAUUCAUACAUACUUAUAUUGCUUCUGAAUAUAUUCUUGAUGUGUUAUUUUGCUGAAAAAUGUAUCGGAAGGUAUCGUUCCAUUGCCGAUUUGCUAAAUAAUUUUAAAUUAACGCUACAUCAGCCUAAACAACUCAGAAUCCGCGUAAGAGAAUUUUCUUUACAAUUACUACAUCAAAAUUUGAAAUUCACGUGCAAUAGUUUUUUGGAUAUUGAUUUUAAAAACUUUGGAAAGAUGGUUCUCAUUGUAUUCGCUUUUAUUGUUAUUUUAAUACAAUUCAAAAUGGAAGAUGUCAGUUUGGGUGCUCUAUAUGCUACACAAAAAUUAUUUGGAAAGUGGAACUGAUUUCGAGUUUAAAUAGCUGGCAUAAAGAAUAUCUGAAGGAACGAAGACGUUAAAGCUGGGCAUUUUGAAAGUUGGAUGAUGUCAAUGAAAUCUUAUGAAAAAGUUGUAUAUCAUAUGUAAACAUGAGAUUACCUUGUAUAAGUUUACAUUUAGACUAUGGCCCGUUCUUAUAUAAUUCCUUUAAGAUGCAAGCACAUAAAAAGAUUGAAGUCAUGGCUUGGCAUAUUAAUGUCAAAUUAUAAUGGAAUACAACGGCAGGAUUUUAGUGCGGCUCUGUAAUCCCUUUAUGAAAUGUCACAAAAUAUGCCUAGCCAUGACUUUAAGCUUCUUAUGUACUUAGACCUUUAAAGUUUCACUUUUGUUAUCCUCUAAGGAAAAGUAAAGUAAAGAGAUAUGGCAAGCUUUUUUUUAAA